UCAGACACUGUGUUGCUUUGGCAGUUCCC
rnacentral:piRNA from 1 species